rnacentral:lncRNA from 1 species
CUCUUUCUCAAUGUAAAAUUGAGUUCACAUUGGACCUGCUUACCCACAGCAGUCACCAGCUCAACCAGGGAAGGAAACGCACCACCCUGCUAGCCCUGCUUCAGCCUUGGGUGAGGCUGUGAAGGCUGGUGACGGGAAAACUGGAGCAGAGAAGACAAAUCCAGCCUGAGCCAAGAGGCCUCUGCAUCGCUGGUCAGGAAAAAGCAACUGCUAGAUUUCUGGUUUGCCCCUCAGACCGUGGAGCUCCGGGUCACCAGCCUGAACCGCUUAAUGCACAUCACGCCUGGGUUUAGUUGGAAAUGGCUGAAGGCACUUAAAUGGAACUCCCAACCUUUGUCCUCAGCUUCCGAAACCACAGCACUGUGUCGGGGCCUUUCCAAUGGAACAUGAACACAACAUUGCACAGAGUAGGUAAGCAAUACAGAUUUUUAACCGAAUGAGGAAGAAACACCAUUCUUAUCCCAUUUGUCAGAUGAGGACACUGAGGCAACAAUAAUGUUUACAUCUGUAAUUGAAAUGAUGUACAUAUUCCUAUAAGAUUAGGACCAAGAAGUAUUCUAAUCCCCCCAACCUUUUUUUUUUUUUUUUUUGAGAAAUGGAAGCUUUCCAAAAGAAAAAUGACUUUCCUAAGGACAGAAGAGUAUGACAAACAGAAUAGUGCUACCCUUCCCAAAGAUGUUUACCUGUGGCUGGGUGCGGUGGCUCACGCCUGUAAUCCCAGC